rnacentral:rRNA from 1 species
ACCUACCCUAUGGUGGGGGAUAACCCCGGGAAACUGGGGAUAAUACCCCAUAGAUAUGGAUGCUGGAAUGCUCUGUGCCGAAAGGCAGCCGCCAUAGGAUGGGUCUGCGGCCGAUUAGGUUGUUGUUGGGGUAACUGCCCAACAAGCCUGUAAUCGGUACGGGUUGUGGGAGCAAGAGCCCGGAGAUGGAUUCUGAGACACGAAUCCAGGCCCUACGGGGCGCAGCAGGCGCGAAAACUUUACAAUGCGGGAAUCGUGAUAAGGAACUCCUAGUGC